rnacentral:rRNA from 1 species
UACGUAGGGGGCAAGCGUUGUCCGGAUUUAUUGGGCGUAAAGGAGCUCGUAGGUGGUUCGGUUAAGUCGGAUGUGAAAUCUACCACGCUACAACGUGGAGGGGCCACCCGAUACUGCCAUACAUAGAGUCCGGUAGGGGAGUGUGGAAUUCCCGGUGUAAGCGGUGAAAUGCGACAGAUAUCGGGAGGAACACCAGUGGCGAAGGCGAGUCCCUGGACAAUUCCUGACGCUG